rnacentral:rRNA from 1 species
GACAGAGGGUGCAAACGUUGCUCGGAAUUACUGGGCGUAAAGGGCGUGUAGGCGGGAAGGCAAGUCGGGCGUGAAAGCCCCAGGCUCAACCUGGGAACUGCACUCGAAACUGCCUUUCUUGAGUGCCGGAGAGGAAAGCGGAAUUCCGUGGUGUAGAGGUGAAAUUCGUAGAUAAUCAGGAGGAACACCAGUGGCGAAAGGCGGCUU